AGUGAACGCUGGCGGUAGGCCUAACACAUGCAAGUCGAACGGCAGCACAGUAAGAGCUUGCUCUUACGGGUGGCGAGUGGCGGACGGGUGAGGAAUACAUCGGAAUCUACUUUUUCGUGGGGGAUAACGUAGGGAAACUUACGCUAAUACCGCAUACGACCUACGGGUGAAAGCAGGGGAUCUUCGGACCUUGCGCGAUUGAAUGAGCCGAUGUCGGAUUAGCUAGUUGGCGGGGUAAAGGCCCACCAAGGCGACGAUCCGUAGCUGGUCUGAGAGGAUGAUAAGCCACACUGGAACUGAGACACGGACCAGACUCCUAAGGGAGGCAGCAGUGGGGAAUAUUGGACAAUGGGCGCAAGCCUGAUCCAGCCAGACCGCGUGGGUGAAGAAGGCCUUCGGGUUGUAAAGCCCUUUUGUUGGGAAAGAAAAGCAGCAGGUUAAUACCCAGCUGUUCUGACGGUACCCAAAGAAUAAGCACCGGCUAACUUCGUG
rnacentral:rRNA from 1 species